rnacentral:misc_RNA from 1 species
UCACUGCUUCCGCAGGCAGUCUACUUAAAGUUCCCACCAUUACGUGCUGGCAACUAAGUAUAGGGGUUGCGCUCGUUACAGGACUUAACCAAACACCUCACGACACGAGCUGACGACAGCCAUGCAGCACCUGUGCACGGACUCCGAAGAGGGCCUCCCCUCUCUGAGAGGUUUCCCGUGCAUGUCAAGCCCAGGUAAGGUUCUUCGCGUUGCGUCGAAUUAAACCACAUGCUCCACCGCUUGUGCGGGCCCCCGUCAAUUCCUUUGAGUUUUAAUCUUGCGACCGUAAUCCCCAGGCGGGGUACUUAAUGCGUUAGCUGCGGCACCGCAGGGGUCAACACCCGCGACACCUAGUACCCAUCGUUUACAGCGUGGACUAC